rnacentral:pre_miRNA from 1 species
CUCAUACUCCAUCCGUCCGGAAAUACUUGUCCUAGAAAUGAAUAUAAUUGAUGUAUCUAUUAUUUUAGUUAUAGAUACAUCAAUUAUAUUUAUUUUUAUGACAAGUAUUUUCGGACGGAGGGAGUACCUU